AUUGGCUUCUUGCAUCGCUAUUGUCAAAUAUUGUCAAAUAUUCAGUUAUUUAAAUGAUAUUGAAUAUUAACAAGUCUAAACAAAUUUCAGUGAUUUCUAAUUAUUCUAAGAAUAUUUUAGGAGUACAACUUUCGUGUUAAAAUGAUACUAUUCAUUACCAUGCAAUAGGAGAUGACUGACAAAACCGGCGCAUGCGCAAUGUAGGCGUAAGUGGCGUGGUACACUACAUGUCAGAGCUCUGAUAAUCCAGUCAAAACUUUUCAAAACUUCACCAUGGACUGGUACAACCGAGGGAGUUUCAACAUAUCCCCAUGUUUGAAAGAGCUUAUGAACUGUUGGGAAAUAGCCAAAGCUGAUGUGAUCUGCUCCGAUAACAAAUAUUACGAAUCUGUUUGCGGAUUCAUGAGACAUUAUUGUCACGAUGUAUUCCAAGAUUAUGACAGUUACCUGUUAUGGUUUCGAUUCUCUUUAUUUGAAUCCGUCUGUCAGUCUACGUGGCAUGAACACUACACGUGAACAUCAUCGAUAGUGCUUCGUACUCUACUUAACUAGAGUUACUCUUCAUCUAUCGAUCUUAUAACAAACACGAUCCCAAACCAUUCAAAUAAAAUUGUAUUAAACAAAAAAA